GAUGAACGCUAGCGGCAGGCUUAACACAUGCAAGUCGAGGGGCAGCGCGGGAUAGCAAUAUCCUGGCGGCGACCGGCGGAAGGGUGCGUAACGCGUGAGCGACAUGCCCGUUGCCCGGGGACAACCGGUGGAAACGCCGACUAAUCCCCGAUGGGAUAUUGUGCCGCAUGGCCCGAUAUUGAAAGUUACGGCGGCGACGGAUUGGCUCGCGUCCGAUUAGCUUGUUGGCGGGGUAACGGCGCACCAAGGCUGCGAUCGGUAGGGGUUCUGAGAGGAAGGCCCCCCACAAUGGGACUGAGACACGGCCCAUACUCCUACGGGGGGCAGCAGUGAGGAAUAUGGGUCAAUGGGCGGAAGCCUGAACCAGCCAUGCCGCGGGCGAGAAGGAGGCCCUAUGGGCUGUGAACCGCUUUUGCCUGGGGGCAAUAAGGGCGUCGCGCACGUCCGAUGAGAGUACCAUGCGAAUAAGCAUCGGCUAACUCCGUG
rnacentral:rRNA from 1 species